rnacentral:rRNA from 1 species
GGUUAAGCGACUAAGCGUACACGGUGGAUGCCUAGGCAAUCAGAGGCGAUGAAGGACGUGCUAAUCUGCGAAAAGCGUCGGUAAGGUGAUAUGAACCGUUAUAACCGACGAUAUCCGAAUGGGGAAACCCAGUGCAAUUCGUUGCACUAUCGUUUGAUGAAUACAUAGUCAAACGAGGCGAACCGAGGGAACUGAAACAUCUCAGUACCUCGAGGAAAAGAAAUCAACCGAGAUUCCCCUAGUAGCGGCGAGCGAACGGGGAGCAGCCCAGAGUCUUAAUCAGCAUUAGCAUCAGGAGAACAGUCUGGAAAGGCUGGCAGUAAAGGGUGAUAGCCCCGUAUCCGAAGGUGUUAGUGUUGUGAACUCGACGAGUAGGGCGGGACACGUGUUAUCCUGUCUGAAUAUGGGGGGACCAUCCUCCAAGGCUAAAUACUCCUGAUUGACCGAUAGUGAACCAGUACCGUGAGGGAAAGGCGAAAAGAACCCCGGCGAGGGGAGUGAAAUAGAACCUGAAACCGUGUACGUACAAGCAGUGGGAGCACCCUUCGGGGUGUGACUGCGUACCUUUUGUAUAAUGGGUCAGCGACUUAUAUUCUGUAGCAAGGUUAACCGAAUAGGGGAGCCGUAGGGAAACCGAGUCUUAACUGGGCGAAUGAGUUGCAGGGUAUAGACCCGAAACCCGGUGAUCUAGCCAUGGGCAGGUUGAAGGUUGGGUAACACUAACUGGAGGACCGAACCGACUAAUGUUGAAAAAUUAGCGGAUGACUUGUGGCUGGGGGUGAAAGGCCAAUCAAACCGGGAGAUAGCUGGUUCUCCCCGAAAGCUAUUUAGGUAGCGCCUCGUGAACUCAUCUUCGGGGGUAGAGCACUGUUUCGACUAGGGGGUCAUCCCGACUUACCAACUCGAUGCAAACUACGAAUACCGAAGAAUGUUAUCACGGGAGACACACGGCGGGUGCUAACGUUCGUCGUGAAGAGGGAAACAACCCAGACCGCCAGCUAAGGUCCCAAAGUCAUAGUUAAGUGGGAAACGAAGUGGGAAGGCUCAGACAGCCAGGAUGUUGGCUUAGAAGCAGCCAUCAUUUAAAGAAAGCGUAAUAGCUCACUGGUCGAGUCGGCCUGCGCGGAAGAUGUAACGGGGCUAAACUAUGCACCGAAGCUGCGGCAGCGAUAUUUAGAUAUUGUUGGGUAGGGGAGCGUUCUGUAAGCCUGUGAAGGUGUACUGUGAGGUAUGCUGGAGGUAUCAGAAGUGCGAAUGCUGACAUAAGUAACGAUAAUGCGGGUGAAAAACCCGCACGCCGGAAGACCAAGGGUUCCUGUCCAACGUUAAUCGGGGCAGGGUGAGUCGACCCCUAAGGCGAGGCAGAAAUGCGUAGUCGAUGGGAAACGGGUUAAUAUUCCCGUACUGGUGAUAAUUGCGAUGGGGGGACGGAGAAGGUUAGGCUGGCCGGGCGACGGUUGUCCCGGUUUAAGGAUGUAGGCAGGUGAAUUAGGCAAAUCCGGUUCACUACAUGCUGAGGUCUGAUGACGAGCCACUACGGUGGUGAAGUAGCUCAUACCCCGCUUCCAGGAAAAGCCUCUAAGCUCUAGAUUAUCAUUAAUCGUACCCCAAACCGACACAGGUGGUCAGGUAGAGAAUACUCAGGCGCUUGAGAGAACUCGGGUGAAGGAACUAGGCAAAAUGGUGCCGUAACUUCGGGAGAAGGCACGCUGGCACUAGGUGAAGUGGUUUACCCAUGGAGCUGAAGCCAGUCGCAGAUACCAGCUGGCUGCAACUGUUUAUUAAAAACACAGCACUGUGCAAACACGAAAGUGGACGUAUACGGUGUGACGCCUGCCCGGUGCUGGAAGGUUAAUUGAUGGGGUUAUCCGUAAGGAGAAGCUCUUGAUCGAAGCCCCAGUAAACGGCGGCCGUAACUAUAACGGUCCUAAGGUAGCGAAAUUCCUUGUCGGGUAAGUUCCGACCUGCACGAAUGGCGUAAUGAUGGCCAGGCUGUCUCCACCCGAGACUCAGUGAAAUUGAACUCGCUGUGAAGAUGCAGUGUACCCGCGGCAAGACGGAAAGACCCCGUGAACCUUUACUAUAGCUUGACACUGAACAUUGAGCCUUGAUGUGUAGGAUAGGUGGGAGGCUUCGAAGCGUGGACGCCAGUCUGCGUGGAGCCAACCUUGAAAUACCACCCUUUAAUGUUUGAUGUUCUAACGUUGCCCCGUAAUCCGGGGUGCGGACAGUGUCUGGUGGGUAGUUUGACUGGGGCGGUCUCCUCCCAAAGAGUAACGGAGGAGCACGAAGGUUGGCUAAGCAUGGUCGGACAUCAUGCGGUUAGUGCAAAGGCAUAAGCCAGCUUGACUGCGAGAGUGACGGCUCGAGCAGGUACGAAAGUAGGUCUUAGUGAUCCGGUGGUUCUGAAUGGAAGGGCCAUCGCUCAACGGAUAAAAGGUACUCCGGGGAUAACAGGCUGAUACCGCCCAAGAGUUCAUAUCGACGGCGGUGUUUGGCACCUCGAUGUCGGCUCAUCACAUCCUGGGGCUGAAGUAGGUCCCAAGGGUACGGCUGUUCGCCGUUUAAAGUGGUACGCGAGCUGGGUUUAGAACGUCGUGAGACAGUUCGGUCCCUAUCUGCCGUGGGCGUUGGAAGAUUGAAAGGGGCUGCUCCUAGUACGAGAGGACCGGAGUGGACGCACCACUGGUGUUCGGGUUGUCAUGCCAAUGGCAUUGCCCGGUAGCUAAGUGCGGAAAAGAUAACCGCUGAAAGCAUCUAAGCGGGAAACUUGCCUUGAGAUGAGUCUUCCCUGACUCUUUAAGGGUCCUAAAGGAACGUUUAAGACUAAGACGUUGAUAGGUUGGGUGUGUAAGCGUAGCGAUACGUUGAGCUAACCAAUACUAAUGAACCGUGAGGCUUAACCUG